rnacentral:rRNA from 1 species
CGGUGUGAGUAACGCGUGGGUAACCUGCCUCAUACAGGGGGAUAACAGUUAGAAAUGACUGCUAAUACCGCAUAAGACCACAGCACUGCAUGGUGCAGUGGUAAAAACUCCGGUGGUAUGAGAUGGACCCGCGUCUGAUUAGCCAGUUGGCAGGGUAACGGCCUACCAAAGCGACGAUCAGUAGCCGGCCUGAGAGGGUGAACGGCCACAUUGGGACUGAGACACGGCCCAAACUCCUACGGAAGGCAGCAG